rnacentral:rRNA from 1 species
UACGAGAGGUCCAAACGUUAUUCGGAAUCACUGGGCUUACAGAGUUCGUAGGCGGUACGGAAAGUGGGGUGUGAAAGCCCUCGGCUCAACCGAGGAACUGCGCUCCAAACUACCGUGCUAGAGGAAGAUAGAGGUGAGCAGAACUGAUGGUGGAGCGGUGAAAUGCGUUGAGAUCGGGAGGAACGCCGGUGGCGAAAGCGACAGACUGGGGCUUGGCCGACGCUCAGGCACGAAAGCCAGGGGAGCGAACGGG